rnacentral:lncRNA from 1 species
CUGAGUUUUGUAUGAUAUCUGGGUUGAGAUGAAAAGGUAAGGAUGAUAUAACUCCAUAUAAAGGUAUGGAGAAUAUGCUUAUUGGUAAGUUUUUUGGUGAUGAAGCUGUGACACGUAGUAGUAUAGGUAGGAUAUAUAGGAAGACAGUUUUUGAUGAUGAUGACGAGGCUAUUAAGAUGUCUAUGAUAUUUUUGGUCUUUAAUUUCAUUAUGUGCACAUUUUCUGAAAAUUACGUUGAUGGGGC